rnacentral:misc_RNA from 1 species
GAUGAAGAACGUAGCGAAAUGCGAUAAGUAAUGCGAAUUGCAGAAUUCAGUGAGUCAUCGAAUCUUUGAACGCACAUUGCGCCCUGUGGUAUUCCGCAGGGCAUGCCUGUUCGAGCGUCAUUUCAACCCUCAAGCUCUGCUUGGUGUUGGGCCCUGCCCGCUGCGGCCGGCCCUAAAGACAGUGGCGGUGCCGCCUGGCCCUGAGCGUAGUACAUCUCUCGCUCCAGUGCCCGACGGUGGCCUGCCAGAACCCCAACUCUCGUGGUUGACCUCGGAUCAGGUAGGGAUACCCGCUGAACUUAAGCAUAUCAAUAAGCGGAGGA